GCUCCGGUGGCUUAGUGGUUAGAGUGUCCGACUGGGAUUCAGGAAGUCGUGGAUUCUAUCCCCGGUCAAAUCA